GAUGGGCAGCGAGCGCGCGCCACCAGCCCCCAUCGCUCCCUUCCUUCUCCCACAGGUGGGACUUUUUACACGGGCGUGUCAAACACGGACAGGACAAAGCGCUGGUUGAGGUGUCUCGCAGCUUUUGUCCCGUCUGGCUUGCCAGAGACCUCAAGGAGCUCAAAUGACGACGUCUACGUGGAAAAGUACAACGAGAAGGCUCAAUUGCUUGCUGUUCUAAUUUUUCGAUACACACUGGAUUUGUGAACCGUUGUUUUUUGUAAGUGACAAGUUGCUUGGCAGCUUUGGCAAUGUCAUAGGCGCACUGGAUGACCUGCUGAGUGACCAGCUGGAUGUCCGACGCGCUGGGGUUGUGCUCCGCAGCCUUCUGGC